AUGUAAGCAGUGGGGCAUCCACCUGCCAUCCCAGGCCUUGCCCAGGGUUGUCACAGGAUGCCAUAUAUGAGCCUCACACAGUAGAUAGUGUAGCUGUGGUAGUGACUCUCUCCCCUUGUGUUGUUUAUGCAGAUACACACUGUAUUUGUCCCCGAAACUCUGAGUAAAAGUGACUCAAAGGUUGAUCUAGUAUUGAAGUAGAUAGUGUUUAGAUAGUUUAGUUGACCCUACUGUCAGAUGUGAGACUGAACCCUAUAAUCGAUUGUUGUGUUUGUUGUUUUCCAGUGUUUUAAAUCACAAACUCUAAACUUGACUUGAUGUUUGAAAAACUUAUAAAAAAAGAAUCUGUCCGUUCAUUUAAUAUUGUAAUAUUAUUUUAUACAUGCAGCUAUGAGUAUAAAGUUUUGAUUUGCUCUCUUGUUUUGUACUUUAGAGAUAAAAAAAAGUCACACAUUACAUUUACAAUGAACAAAUCAUAUGUUAUACACAUAGACUGUUUAAACAGUAGAGGCAAAAUCUACGGAAGCCCUGGGAGGCAAGUGAGAAAAAAUAUCAAUUUUCUAAGUCUGAUUUAAAUUAUUUUUUCUCCUGUGUUUAUGACUUAGGACAGGUGAAUAAAAAAAUGUGUCUAUUUUCGCUCAGCUGACAAGCGCAAGGCCUCAGUAUGGAAAAGCUCAUUGAGUUUUACUUUGACCUGGGCAUUAAGCUGAUAUACUGCUCAAUGGGCAUAUUUAAACUCUGUGUUUAAGUUCUAUGAUUUAUAUUUCUUAUGUAUGACAAGAUAAUGUGCAAUGUCAGAGGUGUCGCAUGUGGUGGUGAACCAACAGAGAAUUAUCAGAGAAGAACAAGUAAGUUGUAUCAAAUAAGAAAAAAAACUAAUGUUCUUUAUUAGACAGUUAACAAACAGCUAUACCUAAUUAAACCUAAUUAGACACCAUACACCUAAACAAAUAUUUUAUGAAAUAUUGAUUAAAAAACACGCUACUUUUGCUAAAAGAAAGUUGGAAAAGAGGCUAUGAUGAGCCCUGGUAACCGGACAUCUCCUUCAUUAAAAAAAAAAAAAAAACAGAAUAUUGAGCCAGUCUGAUGUGUGUAGGGGUCUGUAUGGUUAUACUGUAGCAGCUUGUGUUUUCAGGCGAUUUAAUGCCAAUGCUUGCAUGGCACAGAUUAAAAACCCACAGGUCUGUUUUUUUUUUUUUUCUCCCUUGUCUCUUAGAGCUUCUGUAGAACCUUUUGUAACUUUGAAAAUUACUGCAGUUUGCCAUUGUAUGGCAGUAUAGUCAAUGAUAAAUGCUGAAGAAGAGAGAGGACCUGCAGUGUUGUUUUGCUGUUUUAUUCAGUUUAUUUUGAACUAUCAAUAAAUAAAUAAAAUAUCUUCUCUGAUUGGACAGAAUAGAGAGAAUGAGGGACAGGAAAGGUUGGAGAGAGCAGUGUCAUGUGUGGGAUGGAUUCAUGUAAUGCUGUGAUUGCAUGCAAUGCACCUGGGUCUGUGUGCCUGCUUUUUAUUAUUUGCCUUUAUUGAUUAGAUUGACUGUCGGACACAAUGCUCAUCGUAGGUCCACAUGCAUUGCUGCUCGCAUCAACUGCAUGAGGUCCUAACUUCAACAGACAUGUUACUGUAUUUAUGUUUUGUCCGAAUUUGAUUUCUUCAACAUCAGAAUCGUUUUACAUCCUGCAACACUAAAGUCAAAUGAACACUAACCUUAAUGCUGAACCUAAUAUACAUACCUGCUACACUUAAAGUACACUUUGGGGAAAUGACAGCACUGAAUAAACCCAGGUCUGUGCUUUAGACUGCUAUACUGAGCUACUGAGAGAAAUCCAAAACAAUCCCAUUACCUAGUUUUACAAAGCCCUUUGCAAAAGUGUGUCACCCAUUUACCAUUUACUGUAUGGUGCUGGUACUUCAACAAUCUAAAAUCUGAAAUCAUACAUUAUUAGACCAGUUGAUGUGAAAUAUCACAAUUUAUAUAAACCUAUUUAUACUACCCCACUAAGACCAGUUGUAUUUUUAAUACGCUGUAAUAAAAUGAAUCACUUGCAUCAAAAUCAGACCGAUAGUGUCUGGGAAAUCACCUGAGAUUCCACAGUACCGCCUGCCUCACUCUUGUAAGGCUGCAAUGUCUG